UGGGACUGGUACCCAAACGCAAACGUUAGUCGUCUUAAACAGGCGUAAAGGGUAAGUAGGCUGCUUUAAAUUUUCUAUUUUAAAACCAAAUUUACUUUUUUACCUUUGUUUAUACUAGGUAGAGUCAGUAAAUAAGCUCUAAUUUUAAUAAAUAAAAAUAAAAUUUUCAACUCGCAAUCCUCAGGAUUUAUAGGAGAAAAUUAAAUAAAUAAGACCUAAUUUUAUUAAGAACAGUAAAAAAUAGAAUAAAUUAAAGCUAGAAUCAUAAUGGAGAUAAACCAAAUAAUACUUAUGUGUAAGGAUGAUAUCUAAAGAUACUAAAGUAGAAUAAAACCCCU
rnacentral:rRNA from 1 species